rnacentral:rRNA from 1 species
GUGCCAGCCGCCGCGGUAAUACCAGCUCCGCGAGUGGUCGGGGUGCUUACUGGGCCUAAAGCGCCCGUAGCCGGCCCGGUAAGUCGUCCCUGAAAUCCACGGGCUCAACCCGUGGGCUGGGGACGAUACUGCCGGGCUUGGGGGCGGGAGAGGCCGAGGGUACUCCCGGGGUAGGGGCGAAAUCCGUAGAUACCGGGAGGACCACCAGUGGCGGAGGCGUCCCGCUAGAACGCGCCCGACGGUGAGAGGCGAAAGCCGGGGCAGCAAACGGGAUUAGAUACCCCGGUAGUCCCGGCUGUAAACGAUGCGGGCUAGCUGUUGGGCGGGCUUAGAGCCCGCCCAGUGGCGGAGGGAAGCCGUUAAGCCCGCCGCCUGGGGAGUACGGCCGCAAGGCUGAAACUUAAAGGAAUUGGCGGGGGGGCACCACAAGGGGUGAAGCUUGCGGCUUAAUUGGAGUCAACGCCGGAAACCUUACCCGGGGCGACAGCAGGAUGAUGGCCAGGCUAACGACCUUGCCGGACGAGCUGAGAGGAGGUGCAUGGCCGUCGUCAGCUCGUGCCGUGAGGUGUCCGGUUAAGUCCGGCAACGAGCGAGACCC